GGUCCUGUUCAGUAUUAUCAGGAAUGCUCUUUCUCACCUUCCUUUGUUGGUGUCUUUUUGCAGGGAUCGUGUUUGCACAUUAUGGUCCAGUCUGGAAACAGCAGAGGAAAUUCUGUCAUUCAACUCUUCGUCAUUUUGGCUUGGGAAAGCUUAGCUUGGAGCCCAAGAUUAUUGAGGAGUUCAAAUGCGUGAAAGAGGAAAUGCAAAAACAUGGAGAAGACCCCUUCAGUCCCUUCCCCAUCAUCAGCAAUGCUGUCUCUAACAUCAUUUGCUCCUUAUGCUUUGGCCAGCGUUUUGAUUACACCAAUAGUGAAUUUAAGAAAAUGCUUGGUUUUAUGUCAAGAGGAUUAGAAAUCUGUCUGAACAGUCAGAUUCUUCUGGUCAACAUAUGCCCCUGGCUUUAUUACCUUCCCUUUGGACCAUUUAAGGAAUUAAGACAAAUUGAAAAGGAUAUAACCAGUUUCCUUAAAAAUAUCAUCAAAGACCAUCAAGAGUCUCUGGAUGGAGAGAACCCUCAGGACUUCAUAGACAUGUAUCUUCUCCACAUGGAGGAGGAGAGGAAAAAUAAUAGCAGCAGUAGUUUUAAUGAAGAGUACUUAUUCUAUAUCAUUGGGGAUCUCUUCAUUGCUGGGACUGAUACCACAACUAACUCGUUGCUUUGGUGCCUCCUGUAUAUGUCACUGAACCCUGAUGUACAAGAAAAGGUUCAUGAAGAAAUUGAAAGGGUCAUUGGUCCCAACCGAGCCCCUUCCCUCAUGGACAAGGCCCAGAUGCCCUACACAGAAGCCACCAUCAUGGAAGUGCAGAGGCUAACUGUGGUGGUGCCUUUUGCCAUUCCUCAUAUGACCUCAGAGAAAACAGUGCUCCAAGGGUAUACCAUUCCUAAAGGCGCAUUGAUCUUACCCAACUUGUGGUCAGUACACAGAGACCCAGCCAUCUGGGAGAAACCAGAUGAUUUCUACCCUAAUCGAUUUCUGGAUGACCAAGGACAACUUCUUAAAAAAGAAACCUUUAUUCCUUUUGGGAUAGGGAAGCGGGUGUGUAUGGGAGAGCAGCUGGCCAAGAUGGAAUUAUUCCUGAUGUUUGUGAGCCUAAUGCAGAGUUUCACAUUUGCUUUACCUAAGGAUUCUGAAAAGCCCAUCCUGACUGGAAGAUUUGGUCUAACUUUAGCCCCACAUCCAUUUAAUAUAAUAAUUUCAAAGAGAUGAAGAGCAUCUCCAAGAAGAGACGGUUUAACAGAUGUAUAAAUACAUAUCCUUCCAAACAGAUUCUUCCUACUCCAGUUGACAGUAGAUCCAGCAACUCAGAGGAUCCAGAAAUUCUAUUAAGAGGAUGUCUAUAGCUGAUGAAGCUGAGGCUUAGAGAAGUUAAGGCACAAAGUUAAAAGUACCGUCCCUGGGUUUCAAACCUGCUAGUCUCUGUGACCGGAGAGUGCUUUCUGAACCACUUCUGCCACACUGGAUCCUGUAGCAGUGUCCCCCCGCCUGUCUUCAUCCCCGACUGAGUUCUUCAAGGUGAGGGUGUCCUGCUGUUAUCCUCCCCCACAGUGCCUUGCUCUGAGUGGGUGCCACUCAACACGGGAAUGACUUUUAAGAAGUGUACUUAGGGGAAAAAAUCCCACCUCCAUUUGAAUAACUACAGGUCAUAUUUUUGUUACUUAAAGGUAAUAAGAGAUUAGUAUGUGUUAUUUGUCAAUGUCAAAGCCAGUUUUUAAAAAAAAUUACUGGACUUUUGACUAUCAUUUCAAACAACUAUUUUUUAAACAAACUUAGUGUGAUGCCUUAGCUGUUGAAAUAUAACACAGAAUGUAAGCUCCUAGCACAUGGAGACUAGGCCACAUCCAUGGGUCUCUCAUUUACUUUCUUAAAGGAAAGAAGCAGCUCGUGCUGUUCCUACUGAUAGAGAAGAGGACAGAAAAGAUCCAGAGUGCCAUUACUUUGAGAAUUAAACAAAAAGAAAAAGGUGAAACUCUGAACUUGAACAGUUUAGCUAGAAAGGCUUCCUGUGACUUAUUACCCUUCCUUGCUAAGUUUUCCAGACCAGUGGGGACACCAUAUCUCCCCAACCUCUGACUUCUUAAUCUGUCAUUAGCCACGCUUUGGGUAGUUAGAUUGUCUUAGUCUGUGACUGGCAUUCCAGGGCAGUUCUGAAUGUGAAGCUAGAUUUUUCCUUUGAUGUACCAUAUUCCUAGGCAGAUUUCUGCAUGCUCAAGGAAUGAACGUAGCAUCUGCUUAAUAAAAACAUAACAAGAGGAAGAAGAAAAGAACUGACUAUUAUAUCAUCAAGUAUUGAUUGACCUUUGACUCUGCAUUCUUUGUAUUAUCUAUCGUACUGCUUUGUUUAAUAUAAAUAUAAUGAAAUACAGGCUAAUCUUUAGGUGCCUUUAUGAUUUUUGUUUUUUAAAAAAUAAAAGCUAAUAGACUAAAUGCAGAGGAACUGAGCAGAUGGAGAAGUUGUAUAGAGUUUAGAUGAGAUGAUAGAUGUGUGGAUUAUACUGCACCUUGAGCAGGACAGUUUGUUCCUGUCAUGGAAUUCAUAUGCUUUUGAAUUACACUAACAACUUGGCAUUAGCAAGUUCAUUACUCCUUAAUUUAUACAUGCAUUUUCAAUAUUUCUAACCAAAGAAUUUGUAGCUUACUUGAGAAAAAAUUUGUUUCCUGUGAGGUUGUGUCAAAAUCAGAUGUUUAUUAAACUCUUAAAUAUAUGCCCCAAACCGUAGCACUUUAAAAACAUCUUUAUAUAGUAAAUCACUGAAAGGACUGUUAAUGCUUUUCUCACACAUGUUAGCAUUUACAAUUUUGCACUUUAUAGUUUAUUUGAAAUGUAAAAAUAAUUGUACUUUAUUUUAUGUCUGCCUAAUAUCUAACUUUGAGCUCUCAUCUUUAGCAGAGUUUUUGAUGCUUUUAUUAAACUUUUAAUUUUAACUGAAA